rnacentral:lncRNA from 1 species
CCCGGUGAGACACGAGCUCGAGUUGUUUAUAUGGCUUCUCAAAUGAAUCGAGACGUAACAGAAUGUUUUCGUUUGCUGAUUUGAAUAGAAUUCUUAACCAAGCAUAAAGUAAUUAGGAAUUCUAUUCAAGUAAUUUUGCAUGUGUAAUUAAGAUAUUUGAUGAAAACACUAGUGACUUUCAUCAAGUUUCACCGGGUUAUCCAAAUGGCAUCUUGUGAUCAAAUAGGUGAUUAUCAUUGGCUGAAUUACUCAUGAAUUAUUAAUGAAUUUGAGAAGCUUAUAUCGGAAGAGAGAAAGCAAUUUAGACAAGGCUCCGAGUUAUUGAGAGCUUGACUCUGAGCUUAUCGAACUUGGCUUCUUGUGCAUGUCAGAUAAGGAAGAUAAGAGGAUAAAUAUAAGGAAGAUAAGGAUAAGGAAGAUAAGAAGAUAAAGAUGAGAAGAUAAAGAUAAGGAUAACGAUAAAGAAGAUAAAGAUAAGGAUAAAGAUAAGAAGAUAAAGAUAAGGAUAAAGAUAAGAAGAUCAGGAUAAAGAUAAGGAAGAUAAAGAUAAGGAAGAUAAAGAUAAGGAUAAGGAACAUAAAGAUUAAGAUAAGGAUAAAGAUAAGGAAGAUAAAGAUAAGGAUAAAGAUAUGGAUAAAGAUAAGGAUAAAGAUUAAAAGAUAAAGAUAAAGAUAAGGAAGAUAAAGAUAAGAAGAUAAGAUAAGAUAAGGAUAAAGAUAAGGAUAAAGAUAAGGAUAAAGAUAAGGAUAAAGAUAAGGAUAAAGAUAAGGAUAAAGAUAAGAUAAAGAUAAGGAAGAUAAAUAUAAGGAAUAUAAAGAUAAGGAUAAAGAAGAUAAAUAUAAGGAAGAUAAGGAUAAAGAUAAGAGGAUAAAUAUAAGGGAGAUAAGGAUAAGGAAGAUAAGAAGAUAAAGAUAAGAAGAUAAAGAUAAGGAUAAAGAUAAGGAUAAGGAUAAAGAUAAGAAGAUAAGGAUAAAGAUAAGAAGAUAAGGAUAAAGAUAAGGAAGAUAAACAUAAAGAUAAGGAUAAGGAACAUAAAGAUUAGGAUAAGGAUAAAGAUAAGGAUAAGGAACAUAAAGAUUAAGAUAAGGAUAAAGAUAAGGAAGAUAAAGAUAAGGAUAAAGAUUAAGAUAAAGAUAAGGAAGAUAAAGAUAAGAGGAUAAAGAUAAAAAUAAGGAUAAAGAAGAUAAUGAUAAGAAUAAAGAUAAAGAAGAUAAAGAUAAGGAAGAUAAAGAUAAAGAUAAGGAUAAAAAAGAUAAAGAUAAGGAAGAUAAAGAUAAGGAUAAAGAUAAGGAUAAAGAUAAAGAAGAUAAAGAUAAAGAAUAUAAAGAUAAAGAUAAGGAUAAAGAUAAGGAAGAUAAAGAUACAGAAUAAUACUGGAUAGAUGCAUUAAUGAAUAUAUAGAACGAAUACGCCAACUUAUUAUCACUUCCAGCUAGACGUUCGUGGUGUGAACAUGUCCUUUCCGUGCAAUAUAUGUGCCAAAGUAUUUUCAACACGCGGCAACCUCAAGCGUCAUACUUUGAAUGCCCAUGGAGAUGUUCAAAGCAAACCAGUUGAAAUCUCAGCAAGAUCUACAGUUUUGCAGCAUCCUUUCACAUGUAUCGUAGCUGGGUGUACCCAAAGCGGCAAGACUGUGUGGGUAAAAUCUCUCUUGGAGAAUGCACAGAAAACUAUAAGUCCUGCUCCUCAACGUAUCAUUUGGUGUUAUGGUCAAUGGCAACCCUCCUAUUUUGAUAUGAUGAGAACGAUGACUGGAAUCGAGUUUAAUAAAGGCAUCCCCGAAGACAUCGACAACGCAGAUUACUUGGACGUAUCGCAACGGAAUUUGGUCGUAUUGGACGACCUUAUGGCUCAAUCUGGCAAAGAUAAACGUAUUUCUGAUCUAUUUACGAAAGGAAGUCAUCAUCGGAAUUUAUCUAUCAUCUAUAUUGUUCAAAAUAUAUUCCAUCAAGGCAAAGAAAUGAGAAAUAUCAGUCUAAACGCCCAUUAUAUUGUGCUGUUCAAGUCACCAAGAGAUAAACAGCAAAUUUCUAUGCUUGCAAGGCAAGUAGAUCCUGGAAGAGUACAAGAAUUUAUGAGGAGUUAUGAAGAUGCUACGAGCCUACCUCACGGGUAUUUGAUGUUGGAUUUAAAGCCAACAACAGAUGAUCAACAACGACUCAAGACAAACGUACUUCCCGGCGAGAUUGCAAAGUUUAUACAAAAACAGUCGUAUCGUCAACCACCACUUGUAAAUGCCAUGUAUGAUGCCGAGCAGCGAAUGAAAGAAAUCAUGGAUGCACCACAGCUAAGCGCAGUGGAAAAAAGCAAAUUAUACUCUGAUCAACUAAAUCGGUUUCUCACAUUCAAAAAUAAGAUGGAUGUUCCGACUCAAGCUCCUGUUCAGACAACUCCACUAGUGCCUGCAGAAAUACCACAACCCAAUGAAUUAGUUGAGAUAGCACCACCAGUGCCUGCUACCCCUAAACCUAAUUUCCUUACACCACCACCAACAGAAGAGGAACGGCCAAAACUCAAGCGCAAUUUUUUUCACAAUUGGGUCGACCCAGCAGAUUGGACCGAACGUGACCUAGCGCGAAUGACUCCGGAAGCAAGAGAGGAUUAUGAACGUUUUAUAUUGAGCGACCGACCAAAAUAUAUUCCAAUGAAGCCGGAAAA